AAAAGCUGAUCUGCUCUGGGUAAGUCGGGGCCUAAGGAGAGGCAGAGAUGCGUAUCCGAUGGACAGCAGGUUUAAGAUUCCUGCACCCCUUGUUAUCAGAACUGCGGGGACACGGGAAGGGAAGCAGAGCCGGGAAUGGAAAGCCCGGUGCAAGCGAAGUAGUCGCAGGGUUGGAAAAUCCGCCCUGCAUAAGACGAAGGCGUGAUGCGGAGCGAAAUGAAGUAGUGAAGCUGCGGCCCCUUCCUGUCGAGAAAAGCCGCUAUCGUGUAGCAAGGGCCCGUACCGUAAACCGACACAGGUGGAUGAGGAGAGGAUCCUAAGGCCGGCGGGAGAAGUGUUGUUAAGGAACUCGGCAAAAUGACUCCGUAACUUCGGGAGAAGGAGUGCUGCGCAAGCAGCCGCAGAGAAAUGGCCCAAGCAACUGUUUAGCAAAAACACAGGUCUAUGCGAAACCGGAAGGUGAGGUAUAUGGGCUGACGCCUGCCCGGUGCUGGAAGGUUAAGGGGAGAGCUUAGCAUAAGCGAAGGUUUGAACUUAAGCCCCAGUAAACGGCGGCCGUAACAAUAACGGUCCUAAGGUAGCGAAAUUCCUUGUCGGGUAAGUUCCGACCCGCACGAAAGGCGUAAUGAUUUGGGCACUGUCUCAACAACACACCCGGUGAAAUUGAAAUACCAGUGAAGAUGCUGGUUACCCGCGCCAGGACGGAAAGACCCCAUGGAGCUUUACUCCAGCCUGAUACUGGGAUUCGGUAUUGCAUGUACAGGAUAGGUGGGAGGCUAAGAACUUAUGGCGCCAGCCGUAAGGGAGCCGAUGUUGGGAUACCACCCCUGCAGUACUGGGUUUCUAACCUGCGCCCGUGACCCGGGCGGGGGACAAUGUCAGGCGGGGAGUUUGACUGGGGCGGUCGCCUCCGAAAGGGUAUCGGAGGCGCUCAAAGGUCUCCUCAGGAUGGUCGGAAACCAUCCAGAGAGUGCAAAGGCAGAAGGAGGCUUGACUGCGACACCGACGGGUGGAGCAGGUACGAAAGUAGGACUUAGUGAUCCGGUGGCAUAAAGUGGGAUUGCCAUCGCUCAACGGAUAAAAGCUACCCUGGGAUAACAGGCUUAUCACUCCCAAGAGUUCACAUCGACGGAGUGGUUUGGCACCUCGAUGUCGGCUCAUCGCAUCCUGGAGCUGGAGCAGGUUCCAAGGGUUGGGCUGUUCGCCCAUUAAAGCGGUACGCGAGCUGGGUUCAGAACGUCGUGAGACAGUUCGGUCCCUAUCCGGCGCGGGCGCAGGAUAUCUGAGAGGAGCUGUCCUUAGUACGAGAGGACCGGGAUGGACCGUCCGCUGGUGGACCGGUUGUCAUGCCAAUGGCACGGCCGGGUAGCCAAGACGGGAAGGGAUAAACGCUGAAGGCAUCUAAGCGUGAAGCCCCCCUCAAGAUGAGAUAUCCAUACUCGAAAGAGUGAGAGACCCCUUAAAGACGAUGAGGUAGAUAGGGCAGAGAUGGAAGCACAGCGAUGUGUGGAGCUGACUGUUACUAAUCGGUCGAAAGCU
rnacentral:rRNA from 1 species